CCAGACUCCUACGGGAGGCAGCAGUGGGGAAUAUUGCACAAUGGGGGAAACCCUGAUGCAGCGACGCCGCGUGAGCGAUGAAGUAUUUCGGUAUGUAAAGCUCUAUCAGCAGGGAAGAAAAUGACGGUACCUGACUAAGAAGCCCCGGCUAACUACGUGCCAGCAGCCGCGGUAAUACGUAGGGGGCAAGCGUUAUCCGGAUUUACUGGGUGUAAAGGGAGCGUAGACGGCGGUGCAAGCCAGAUGUGAAAGCCCGGGGCUCAACCCCGGGCCUGCAUUGGGAACUGGCGCGCUGGAGUCCCGGAGGGGUAGGCGGAAUUCCUAGUGUAGCGGUGAAAUGCGUAGAUAUUAGGAGGAACACCAGUGGCGAAGGCGGCCUACUGGACGGUGACUGACGCUGAGGCUCGAAAGCGUGGGGAGCAAACAGGAUUAGAUACCCUAGUA
rnacentral:rRNA from 1 species